rnacentral:misc_RNA from 1 species
AAGUCGUAACAAAGUAACCGUAGGUGGACCUGCGGUUGGAUUAUUAGAAAUAUAUUAAGUGAUGAUGAAUUUAGCGCUAAAUAUUCUUGGUCUAUGCCAUCGCCUUAACCCUAGAGUAUUAAGGGGAAUUCGUUAGCUUAUUUCACAACUUGUGCACUGUAAUUGUUUUUGGGCGGUUUAUUAAACCGAAUCGCCAGCCAGUUUAAAAAAAAUUCUAAAUUGUUGAUUGAUGUUUAUUUUUAAAUUAUAAAUCACUUUAGGCAACGGAUCUCUUGC